GGAAAAUAUGAUAAAUCCAUGAAACGUUGCCUCUUGGCUCUGCUCUCGGUCCCCAGAUCUUCAGAUUUCCUCAAAAGGAAAGAGUUUACAACUUCCUUUCUCUUAAACAAACACACACACACACACACACACACACACACACUCACACACACACACACACACACACACACACACACACA